UUUGUGUAGUUAUGUAACAGUGACACUGACAGUUAAAUGGUCACUGAACAAUCUUCUUUUACUUCUUACAUAAUCGCCUGGCUUUGUACGAACUAAUGAACCUAGCAAAACAUAUGCCAGUUGACAGAUCCUUGUGUGCAUACUAUGAGAAUAUAUUAUUUACUGUUAAAUUAUGAAGAACUAAGGCAGCAUGUCACCAAAAUUCAAAGGGCCUAAGACAAAUUUGAAAUAAGAAAGCCUACUGGACACAUAAUAACCAUGGUAGACUCUCACAGUGGUGGCCUCCAUUUUAUUUUUGAAUAGUAGUCUGCAAUUUUCAUUUUUAUUUAUUUAUUUAUUUUUUUAAUUAAAUUUUUAAGUUGUUUCGUACUUGUGUCAUAAAAGAUGAACACCUCUUAAUAUUAUAAUUUUCAUGCUUUUUACAUUGGUUAAUGUUUCAGGUAGGUUUAUUUUUGGACACCGAUUUCUAUAUAGACAUAAACCUUGCCAUUUUUAUACACUUCCACCAUACUGACUAGGAUAAAGGAUACAGUUAGUUUAACACACACUGAUUCUUUUUGUGAACACAUGGUCUUAUAUACAUAGGUGCCACUGUUUGUUAAGUUAACCAGACAGUUGAUGGUUGCCAUUAACUUCAAUAGUAUUUUUUUUUUUCCUACUAUGGAAGUCGAUGGCUUCUGCAACAUUCUUCAAAAUAUCUUCUUUUGUGUUCAGCAUAAGAUAUAAACUCAUAUGGGGUUGGAACAACUUGAGGGAGAAUAAAUGAUGCACUAUCCCUUUAAAUUUCACGUAUUUUCUAAGUAUAGAGCAUGUAUUUAAAAUAAUACUAAAUAAAUUAUUUAAAAAUAUAAGCAAUGAAUGCCCUGAGCAUACAGAUUUCCUUUAGAUUUUUUUUAUUUUGUUUUCGUUUCGUUUUAUAUUUAAAUAAAAAGCCCAUUGCUCUGCACCUGAGUCCUCGUCUCACCCCUUCACCUCAAAACCUGACAAGUUGAUACAUGUAUCCCAGUAUUACUGCGUUCCCUUCUUUAUCCAAAACAAGCUAUUAUAAAAGUUUGACAAUUGGUAAGUUCAGAAGUAGUAGUCAUCAUAGUUGGGUAAACAUAGUAGUGGAUGGGAGACUACAGAAAAUACAGUUAGCCUACUGUUGGCCUGCAGUCCACCAAAAUAUUUUAAUAAAAAAAAAAAAAAAAAUAUAUAUAUAUAUAUAUAUUUUUUUUUUUUUUUUUUUUUUCGGAUUUCCUAUACUAUUUUAAGUCGUAAAGUGAGCAGGAUAUAUUAAAAUGUAGCACAAGGAUUCGGCAGGCAUGUCUGCGUGAUACAAAGUGGGGCAGCCGGUCUCGGAGCCCUCCCUAGCUCUACAGCGCCCCACAAAUUUCCAAUGUAAAUCUGUGGUGAGAAAUGGAACUGCAGCGCGCUCUCAGAGAGGCACUGGGACAGAUUUCUGGUUGCCCCGCUUAUUUUUAAAGUUAGGUAAACACAACUCCAGACAAGACGUUAUCAGUCCGCUUCAGAUAUGUGUCUGCAUCAGGUCAGUAACUAGUUGGCAUGUCUGUUCUUCCUAUGUGGAGUAGCGUAUCAAAUUAAUGAUAAACCCUUCAAUUUAAACGUGCUCAUGUGAAAAGAUUUCAUAUACAGUAGUUCUGUUGUGUUUGUUUUAUGUUUGUUUGAGAAAAGACUACUUUUUUCCUCACUGGAAUUCCUGCAUAACUUGCAAUAUUAUAAAACAACAUUCUGAAGCAAUAAAUACUACAUUAAGCAAUUCUAAGAUGACAUUCUACGCGUUUUUUUUAUUUAUUUAUUUUUAUUAUUAUUAAACUUUCAAAACUACAGACUUCAACAGCAACACAAUUCUGUUUACUAGAGUGUCAAUCAUCAUUAGAGCGCCACCCUCAGGAUAAUUAACGCAAGGACAUGAGAAUUCUGUCAAAAGUGUGUCUGAUGUGUUCAGCGAUUAGAACAUAAAUCUUACAAAAAUCUAGCGCUAAGACCCUGAAUCUGCCCUAAAUGUCUGUCCAGGAGCCGCUACUGCUCAUGUGUGUUGAAGAAAACGUCAAAAUGAAGUUUGUAACUAUUCAAUAAUGUGUUCAGAUUUCUCUGCUCAUGCACGCGACUUCAGGUGUCCAUGCGUGCGAAUGCGUGAUUCGAAUUUUAGUCGCUAUAGCGACGCGUGUUAUGAAUCCUGACUGCACAUGUUUACACUUGAACCGAUCGCUAUAUGUUGAUUGAGAGACGAGGCGAAUUCAGAGACUUUGGCAGAAUAUUUUCUGUGCUGAUCUUGCGAUUUUGAAGCUGUUCAGGAGGAUUUCAGAGAGGAGACUUUUAUUCUAGAAGGAGAUCGGAGGAUAUAUCCUUUACAUAAAGUUUUAUUUUUUGAAGGAGUUCAUAUUAUUUCUAAGGACAGUUUUAUUCUAUUGUUCAUUUCUUAUUAUAGAAGGAGUUUGGAGUUUUAUUUAAUUUUUUAUUGUUUUUUAAUUUUUUAAUUUAUUUAAUUUAUUUUUUGGGGAGGGGGGAUUCCUUAGGAGAAUUGUAUUUUAUUGUUUUUGUAUUGUAUGUUGUAUUGUUUUAUUUUAGUUUACAGGAGGAUAUCGAUGGCUCACAUGAGUGAAAGAGGAGGUGAGUGCUUUAGGUUUUCAUUUGUUUAUGGUAUGUUAUGGUAUGAUGUUGUACAAUGAUUGACUAAAUAUGAAGAAACUUGUGUCAGGUAACCCAUUUGAUCCCCCAAUUUUCCCAGCUAAGUGAUCACAUGUAUUUGAUUCCUAUUCCUUGCAUAUGAAAUAAACUUUUCAAUUUGAGUAACUAUAGUAAUAGUUUGUAAUUGACCACUGCCAUUGAUUAUUAUUAAAACAUUUGAUUUGGAGACCCGGUUCUGAGGACCGUGAUCAGGAUCCGCUGCCAGACUCGACCCAGACACAGAGAGAGCCAGGAGCUUCCUGGAUAUUUAACACCUCUGUCUUCUGACUUGGCUGUUUCUGUGUCCUCAGGUCAGGAUCACCGGAGGAGGGAGUGGCAGAGCGGCAGCCAGCAGAGGCCAGAUGAUGGACGUCCGUCCACUUCAUCUAAACUCUCUCGCAGAGAUUCCCUCUCUGAGGACAAUGUAGUGAGGCGGUUCAGCAGAGAGUCCAUCAGCCUUAGCAGCAGAGGCUCGCACAGCGUCGAAUGGAGGUGGAGUGGUGAUAUUUCGGACAGCCCAAGCGAACGGGGCAGUUGCAGCAGCAUCUGUUUGUCCAGGUCCGACAGCCUCGAAGGGUGGACGUGCCCUCCGCUGCCAGGUCAAGUUCCUCUUGAGCCACCAGAGACUUCACAUGGCCGAACUGCUCCGGGAGCCAGGGAAUCUUCUCCUGUGACCAAGAGCUCAACAGAAAAACCUACAGAAUGCAGGAAGAGGAAAGGAUUUGGUUCUUUCUGGAAGAGGCUAUGGAAGGCUCUGAAGCUUCCUUUCUGCUGCUGUUUCCACUGCAGUUCUGUGGAUGUUGUGGAGCCUUUUGUCCCUCCAUCAGAUCUGGAGUCUGAGAUUGAUCCUGAGCCGUCAUCACCUGCACCAGAUCACUCCGGCGUCAAGCCAUAUAAUGAGUCCUUUGAGUCUCUCUACUACGUGGGAAAGAUGAUCGGAUCCGGAACAUUUGGCAGUGUGUUCGAGGGAACACGCAAAUUUGAUGGCAAAAAGGUUGCCAUCAAACGGAUGCGCAAGUUUGACAACUUUCUUUAUCUUGAUAUCCCUGGGCAUCCUGAACCUCUCAUUACAGAAGUGGCGCUGCUGCUAAUGAUGAGGCGAGAACCCAUAAGCCCCUACGUCAUUCAACUCUACGAGUGGUUCGAACACCCUCGAAAAUUCACUCUGGUUAUGGAGUACCCCGAACCCUGCGAGAGCUUGCUGGACUUCAUCGAUCGCAAUCCUCAGCUGGAUGAAACAAUAGCUCGGGUCUUCAUGCGUCAGGCUGUGCUGGCAGUACAACACUGCAUCGAGCAUGAUGUUUUCCACAAUGACAUUCAUGCGGACAAUUUCCUGUUGAAGCACACGUUAGAGAUCAAGCUGAUAGACUUUGGCUGCGGUCAGCUAUUUAGUAGCGAUGGCUACGAGACCGACACAUACGUUGGAAUACAGGAUCACUGCCCACCUGAAGUCUUCACAGAUCCUCGAUUCCACGCCGUCCCAGCAAAUGUCUGGGCUCUAGGAGUGAUGUUGUAUAAGAUGGUGAACGCUUGUCCUCCUUUUCGCAACAGAAGGGAAAUCACACAAGCCAAAGUUACAUUUCAGAGCUCCAACUUAUCCAAAGAAUGCAGUGAUCUGAUUAGCCAGUGCCUCGCCCGGGAUCCAACUAAACGGCCGACGUUAGAGCAGAUGUUACAACAUAAGUGGAUUAGGAAUGAUCUAGAUUGAAGAAGUUCAGGAGAUUCACUCGAUCAGGGAUUUCAGGAAAUAACUUGAGCUCGAGACUUGACACGAAGCCUGAAGUCCAACUCCAACCUGACUGGGAACUCAGAGCCUGUCCACGUCUGAACAAGAACACGAGAGACUGCAAGACUGGGAAGAAGUCAUCAUGUCAUCACAGCCACAUUUGCUUCGUUUUAAAAAUUAUUUUGCUUUGUUGUUUUUUUUUAAAGUCAAGUCAAGACAAGUCAUCUUUAUUUAUAUAGCACCUUAUAUAUGACCAAUCUGUAUAUAUGACCCCUUUGAAUAAAUGUUUUUAUAGUGAAUACAAAAGAAGAAAUGCUUUUAAACAGUCUUGGCCUAUGAGAAGUGAAAAGGCAAUGACAUA